CUGAUGUCCCCAUGGCAUUGUCCCCACGGUGGUGUCCCCAUAGUGAUGUCCCAAUAGUGGUGCCCCCCAUGCUGGUGUCCCCCAUGGUGAUGUCCCCAUGGCAUUAUCCCCAUGGUGGUGGCCCCAUAGUGGUGACCCCACAGUGGUGUCCCCAUCCUGAUGUCCCCAUGGCAUUGUCCCCGUAGUGGUGUCCCCCAUGGUGGUGUCCCCAUGGCAUUGUCCUCAUGGUGGUGGCCCCAUAGUGGUGCCCCCCAUGGUGGUGGCCCCAUGGCAAUGUCCCCAUGCUGUUGCCCCCCAUGGUGAUGUCCCCAUAGCAAUGUCCCCAUGCUGGUGGUCCCCAUGCUGGUGCCCCCCAUAGUGGUGCCCCCACAGUGGUGUCCCCAUGCUGAUGUCCCCAUGGCCUUGUCCCCACGGUGGUGGCCCUGGGGGUGACAUCGUUCCCCUUGCAGGGCGAGCGCUCUGCCCAGGCGACGCUGGCGGCGUGGCAGCAGUACCGGCACGCCUGCGAGCUGCGCCUGCGCCUCGACCCCCCGGCACCCGGUCCCGUCUGCAACCGCAGCUUUGACAUGUACGUGUGCUGGGGGGACGCGCCCCCCAACAGCACCGCCACCGUGCCCUGCCCCUGGUACCUGCCCUGGCACCACCGAGGUAAGGGGACGCUGCAGGGGGGGUGGGGGGACACGGGGGACUCGGUGGUGGCCCCCCCCCGGUGACGCGGUGGUGGCCGUGGUGGCCAGUGCAGGGCGGGGUGGUGGCCCGGCGGUGUGGCCCCGAUGGGCAGUGGGUGACCGAUGGCACCGGGAGGCCCUGGAGGGACCACUCGCAGUGCGAGGACCUGGAGCAGGAGCAGCCGCUGCAGGUGGGUGGCGAUGGCAGCGUGACGUGUCACGAUAUGGCAUGCUAUGUCGUGACAUGCCACGCUGUGACGUGCCGUUUUAUGUCACGCCGUUGUACGUCGCGCCGUGCCGUGCCGUUCUGUGUCACGCCGUGCCAUGCCGUGCCAUGCGGUGACACGCUCUGCCAUGUCCCCCCUUGCUAUGUCGGGACAUGUCAUGCCAUGUCGUGCCGUGGCACGCCAUGCCGGGCCAUUUUAUGUCAUGCUAUCACAUCUCACACCAUGCCGUGAUGUUCUGUGUCACGCCGUGCCGUGCCAUGCGGUGACACGCUGUGCCAUGUCACACCUUGCUAUGGCGUGACAUGUCAUGCCAUGUCGUGCCGUGGCACGCCAUGCCGGGCCAUUUUAUGUCAUGCUAUCACAUGUCACACCAUGCCGUGACGUUCUGUGUCAUGCCAUGCCACACCAUGCCAUGCGGUGACAUGCUGUGCUAUAUCACACCUUGCUAUGUCGUGACAUGUCACGCCGUGUCGUGCCGUGUCACGCCAUGCCGUGCCAUUUUAUGUCAUGCUAUCACAUGUCACACCAUGCCGUGACAUUCUGAGUCACACCGUGCCGUGCCGUGCCAUGCGGUGACAUGCUGUGCCAUGUCACACC
rnacentral:lncRNA from 1 species